rnacentral:rRNA from 1 species
UACGUAGGCAGCGAGCGUUGUUCGGAAUUAUUGGGCGUAAAGAGCUCGUAGGCGGUUUGUCGCGUCUGCCGUGAAAGUCCGGGGCUCAACUCCGGAUCUGCGGUGGGUACGGGCAGACUAGAGUGAUGUAGGGGAGACUGGAAUUCCUGGUGUAGCGGUGAAAUGCGCAGAUAUCAGGAGGAACACCGAUGGCGAAGGCAGGUCUCUGGGCAUUAACUGACGCUGAGGAGCGAAAGCAUGGGGAGCGAACAGG